rnacentral:rRNA from 1 species
GGACUACUGGGGUAUCUAAUCCUGUUCGCUACCCACGCUUUCGUACCUCAGUGUCAGUAUUGGCCCAGACAGUCGCCUUCGCCACUGGUGUUCCUUCCGAUAUCUACGCAUUUCACCGCUACACCGGAAAUUCCACUAUCCUCUACCAUACUCUAGAUAACCAGUUUCAGACGCAAUUCCCAGGUUAAGCCCGGGGAUUUCACAUAUGACUUAAUUAUCCACCUACGCACUCUUUACGCCCAGUAAUUCCGAUUAACGCUUGCACCCUCUGUAUUACCGCGGCUGCUGGCAC